rnacentral:lncRNA from 1 species
AGCAACCCUAGACUGGGUCUAAACUCUAUAAGUAGGAUAAGUCCUAUCCACAUUGUCCUCAAGUGGGAUAGAGGAGUUUCCAAGAGCAUCAGACCUUCUGGGAGGCAUGAUCUGAAAAGCAAACAAACAAAAAUUAGAGGAGAUCCCAACACCCUAGACUUUACUGAGCAAAGCACACCUAACAAUAACUGAAAUAAAAAUAUAUAAAAAGAUAGAAAAAUAAUAUACUCAAAGACAACUAAGAGUGUCAAC